rnacentral:lncRNA from 10 species
GUGCAGUCUUGUGGUUGCAACCUCAUGUGAUGGAAGGGGUGAGGCAGCUCUCUGGAGUCCAUUUUACAGUGGCCCUAAUCCCAUCAGUGAGGGCUCCACCUUGAUGACCUAAUUAUCUCCCCAAGGCCCCACCUCCUAUGCCAUCCUCACAUUGAGGGUUGGGGCUUCCACAGAUGAGUUUGGGCUGGGGACACAAAUGUUACCCGAAAGGGGUCCCAGUCCAAACCCCAAAAAAGGGUUCUUGGAUCUGGUGCAAGAAAGAAUUUGAGGCAAAUCCAUAAAGUGAAAGCAAGUUUAUUAAGAAAGUAAAGGAAUAAAAAAUGACUAAUCCAUAGGCAGAGCAGUGGCAUGGUGCGCUGGUUGCCCAUUUUUAUGUUUAUUUCUUGAUUAUAUGCUAAAUAAGGUGGGGAUUAUUCAUGAGUCUCCCAGGAAAGGUGUGGGCAAUUCCCAGAGCUGAGGGUUUCUCCUCUUUUUAGACCAUAUAGGGUAACUUCUGGAUGUUGCCAUGGCAUUUGUAAACUGUCAUAGCACUGGUGGGAGUGUAGUGGUGAGGAUGACCAGAGGUCACUCUCAUCGCCAUCUUGGUUUUGGUGGGUUUGGGGCAGCUUGUUUACUGCAACCUGUUUUAUGAGCAGCGUCUUUAUGACCUGUAUCUUGUGCUAACCUCCUGUCUCAUCCUGUGACUUAGAAUGCCUUAACCUCCUUAAUCUCCUGGGAAUGCAGCCCAGCAGGUCUCAGCCUUAUUUUACCCAGCCCCUAUUCAAGAUGGAGUUGCUCUGGUUCACACGUCUCUGACACAAACAUUUAAGCCAAAGCAACAUUGUGGAAAGAAAGGAAAGACAUUUCUGAAAACAAAUGUGUGGUUCUGCCUGAUGGUUCUGGUGAAUCUUCCGCACUUGCUAUGACAAGAAAUUCAAGGAAAAUAAUAGGUGAGAGUUGUUUUGUGAAAAAUGCUGCAACUUUGGCAUUGUUGCUACUGCAAUUUGGGCCCAGGGUCUUGCAGGUUGGGGUUUCACCCUCCUCAUUUCACAUAAACCCGGGGCCAGCCUUCACUGGAUGCUAAUUGGCAUAUCUACAAAUAGGCCAGCCGGUCUGUGUCUCCUGAUUUAGAGACUGUAAACUAAAAAUAAAAUCCUAAGCACCCCUAACCAACUGCACAGACACUCUGUUGGUAAAAGGGACCCCAUAGAACCUUAAAAACUGAGUUUCUGGCCAUGAUAGGGUGGGAGUCAGACACAUCUCAUUAUACCCCUUUCUGUUGAGGUUUAGACACAACUGACAGCAUUCAUGUUAACAUAGAGACAGUCCAGGUGAGGUUAAGAGAAUUUUUUAAAAAAACACAGACACAGGAUGGAGUCUUUGUGGCAAUAAGGUGACAAAUUAUAAACAAGACCUAAGGGUUAAGUCAGCACCCUACACUUAAAGAAUAAACCAUGUUUUCACUGCUGCAAGGGUUUUCUUUUACUCCAGCAGCUAACCAAGCACUGGCCUCCAGCUAAGCAACAUUAAGACAAUUGCAGCUUACCCAGCUCACAGAGGCUGACUCUCCGACCCCCUGCUCCACCAGCCAUGAUGGCAGCAUUCACUGGACAAGACACUGACUUCAAGAGCUUUCUGCUGAUGAGAGACCACGACCUUGGGCUAGUCCUGGCCAGUUUACAGACGCUGUGCACUUGAGCACCUUUGAGUCCUGGAAAGACCUAAUUGGAAUACAUUUACAUGUGAAGCCUCCACCUCAAGAUUCAGAAAUCCCUGUGCCAACUAGAACCCUUUGAAACUAACCCUGACUAUCAUCAACAAGGAAUGUGGCUGCUUCCAUAGCAUAUUUGAAGUACAGAACUCAAGAAAAUGCUUCCUAUUGAUGGAAUUUGUUAGACCACCACACUUCCUGGGAAUUCAGUUUUCUUCCAUUAAAUUCAUCAGACUCAGGUGGAAUUGAGUUGAGUGUCUCUCACAAGCUUUAGGCUGGCAAAAAGAGCUGACACUGCCAACUACAGCUUUUACUGCAAAUACAAGCUGCUUCCUUGCAGCUGGGGAACUUAGUGGAGAUGUGCACACUUGUGGACACUAGGUGCGUGAUGGGGGAGCUUGUAACCCGCCCCUGAUUAUUCUGAACACAAACCACAUCUAGCGGUCAAGUUCUCCUCCUAGGUGGAGAAAUGGAGUUUGAGUGGGAGACAAGGCAUUGCCUUGCAAAUGUCAUUUGCACAGCUGGUCCCAUUUGUAUGGCUUACAUUCAAAUGAGGGCUUAGAGAAAUCCAGCAUCUGAUUGGAUUAAAGUGCACAUUUAAAUAAGAUGCUGCCAGUUCAGCUCUCUAAUUGGACCAAACCACUGCAGGAUGUCAGCCAAUCAGAAUGCACAUACCAGCCUGCCAAGCCCUCUCCACCGCCAGAAUGAAGCGGGGCUACUCUCGGGAAUGGGAGGGCUUGUAACCAUUGGGAAAUCUGUAAAUGUGACUCAUUAUGUUCAUAAAUUUUGAAAAGCAAAAAUUCUUAGUUCUAAAAUUAUUUUUGCUAAUAUUGGAUAGUUA